rnacentral:tRNA from 1 species
GCGGGGGUAGCCAAGCCUGGCUAACGGCGUGGGACUUAAGAUCCCAUCCCUUUGGGGUUCGUGGGUUCGAAUCCCACUCCCCGCA